UGUAGGCUGCGCGCGGAGGAAAGGCUCAAUCGGUGGCGCAUGCGCAAGCUGUGCGCGUGCGCGGCGGCUGGGACUCCGGACUGCGGAGUGAGGCUGGUGCUGGUAUGGCGGAGGCGCGGCCCGGCUCAGGUACAUCGAAUUUCAGCCCUGGUGCUGCUGCUUCCAUUUCUGGAGAAGGACAACCAACAGAUAUAAACUGGGUAAAUAAAGAUAGGAAAGACUCUAACAGUAAUCAGAAUAGAAGUAAUAUACCAAUUCCUAGUCCCUAUUCUGAAAGAGGUACAGAUCGUGAAAGCUCUUCCACAAAGCAUCAUGGCUUUUGUAAUCUGGAAAGUCAGUAUGGGAAUUCUGAAGACUUCCACCAAUAUUUUGGUACCAGUAAAAGUUUGAAGAAUCGCAGCUUGCAAAGCCAGAGAUUGCAUAGAUUAAGAAAUGAUAGCACAUGUGCUAGAAAUAAGACAAGGCAAAGUACUACUGAUACUGCUACAGGUCCAGGAAUUUCAGAUGCUACACUAGUACCUGGUAGAAGAGCACCUCCUAGAGGAUACAGUGAUUUUCUCUCCUCAGAGAGUGACAGGGAAGUACCUAAUGCAGAUAGCAGAGGGGCAAAGCCGAAGAAAGCACAUCUGAUACAUGUAUCUGGGAGAGGUUUUAGGGAAAAGGGAAAGCAGAUACAUGACCGUGAAAAGCGAAUGAGCUCUAAACAGAAAGCAGAGCUGUUUGAAAAUUUUCCAUCUUUGGAUUUGACGCAGUCUGACUCUUCAGAAUCAUCCAUUGGAAAGGCGUUCUGUGAUGCAUCUUUUGGAAGUGGGGAUGAGCAAAAAGGCUACAAUAAUGUAAACAAAAGAUAUCCCCGGAAGCCUGUGUGGAAUAAACCCCCAGUAGAAAAGGAGUGUCAGAAAAGACAUGAUUCUCACCGUAGUAAAAAUACAAAAGUAGGUAAGAAGUCUUCUGUUGCAUAUACUCCAAAAGAUAAAAAUGAAAGGAAGAAAGAACUCAUUGCUCACAAAAAUGAUGAAAACUUGACCAGUGAAAUCAGACAUCAGUUGUCUGAGUCUCUCAGGUUCAGUGGAAGAAAGUUCUUGCUAAAGGGGGAUCAAGUACCUUCACUUCAUUUCAGCUGGACCCAGUACUGGAAGAAGCAAAGUGAUGUACCAAAAAACAAAGAAACUCAUACAGGGUCAUUGAUUGAACAGCUGACCACAGAGAAGUAUGAGUGCAUGGUAUGCUGUGAGGUGGUCCGAAUAGUAGCCCCAGUGUGGAGCUGUCAGAAUUGUUACCAUGUAUUCCACCUGAAUUGCAUCAAGAAAUGGGCACGAUCACCAGCUUCACAAGCUGAAGAUGGCAAUAGCGGUUGGAGAUGUCCAGCUUGUCAGAAUGCUUCUGUGCAAGUUCCUAAAACUUACACUUGUUUCUGUGGUAAGGUGCACAACCCUGAAUGGAAUAGAAAUGAAAUCCCACAUAGCUGUGGGGAACUUUGUGGAAAGAAGAGGCAGUGUUUGGACUGUCCACAUCUUUGCAACAUUCUGUGCCACCCAGGACCGUGCCCUUCGUGCCCAGCCUUUGUGACAAAAACAUGUGAAUGUGGACAAACAAGUCAUUCAGUUCGCUGUGGUCAAUCAACAAAAAUUCAUUGUUCUAAUGUAUGUGGAAAUACUUUAAACUGUGGAAAGCACAGUUGUACUCAAGUGUGCCACUCAGGAAAAUGUUCACCUUGCCAGUUAACAGUACAGCAAGUGUGUUACUGUGGAAGCAACUUUAAAGAAGUAUUGUGUGGAUCAAAGGACGAAUUUUCUGAUGGUUUUGGGAGUUUCUCAUGUCAGAAUAUAUGUGGCAAAAAAUUAAAUUGUGGGAGGCACAACUGUAAGCAAGUAUGCCAUCCUCAGCCUUGCCAGCUCUGUCCACGACUUCCACAAGUUGUGUAUCGUUGUCCCUGUGGUCAGACUCCUCUCAGCAAGUUACUGGAACUAGGAUGUGUUGAACGUAAAAUUUGCACAGAUCCUAUCCCAUCGUGUGGAAAAACAUGUGGCAAACCUCUUUCUUGUGGUAGCUAUGAGCUCAUUCAUACAUGUGAAAGCCUUUGCCACGAAGGAGACUGUAAACCAUGUUCUCACACAUCAAAUAUUUUUUGUAGGUGUGGCUUCAAAAAAAAGGAAAUCCCAUGUGCUCUUCUCAGAAAUAAAGCUGCUAUUACAUUCAUGUGUGACAAGCGAUGCAACAAGAAGAGAUCAUGUGGACGUCACAAGUGUAAUGAAGUUUGCUGUGUGGACACAGAACAUAAGUGCUCUUUGGUUUGUGGUCGUAAACUCAACUGUGGGCUUCAUAGAUGUGAAGAACCCUGCCAUCGUGGCAGUUGUCAAACAUGCUGGCAAACAAGUUUUGACGAGUUGACUUGUUAUUGUGGUGAAUCUGUGAUUUACCCCCCUGUUCCCUGUGGCACUCAGCCACCAGAGUGUAAAAAAACAUGCACCAGGCCACAUGACUGUGAUCAUCCAGUGUACCAUUCAUGUCAUAGUGAGGAGAAAUGUCCCCCCUGUACCUAUCUCACUCAGAAAUGGUGUAUGGGCAAGCAUGAACUGCGAAGUAAUAUUCCUUGUCAUCUCACUGACAUUUCCUGUGGACUUCGCUGCAAUCAGAUGUUAAAAUGUGGAAUGCACAAAUGUAAAAGAAUUUGUCAUAAAGGAGAAUGUCUUAUAGAUGAAGAAUGUAAACAACCAUGUAUUAUUCCAAGGCUAUAUUGUAAUCAUCCGUGUAUGGCUCCAUGUCAUCCUUCUUCACACUGCCCGACAACAUCCUGCUGUGCAAAGGUUGAUCUUCAGUGUGAGUGUGGAAGAAGAAAGGAAAGUAUGGUAUGCUCCGAAGCAUCUAAUACAUAUCAAAGAAUAGCUGCUAUAUCUAUAGCAACUAAGCUAACAGAUCUACAGCUUGGGGAUUCAGUGGAAAUCAGUAGGCUUAUUACGAAAAAAGAAAUGAAGCAAGCCAGGUUGCAAUGUGACGAAGAAUGCUUAGCUAUUCAGAGGAACAGGCGUCUUGCUGAAGCUCUUGAAAUAGAUGAUAAUUCUGAUCCUUUUAAAAUCCGUUCUUCUGGACCAAAGUACAGUGACCUUUUAAAAGAAGAUGCAAGGAAGGAUAUAAAAUUUGUCAGUGACAUUGAGAAGGAAAUGAGAAUGCUUGUGGAAGCUGUGAAUAAGGGCAAGCACACAAAGAAGAGUCAUUGUUACCCACCAAUGAACAGAGAUCACCGCAGAAUCAUCCAUGAAUUAGCUCAGGUUUAUGGCAUUGAAAGUGUGAGCUAUGACAACGAACCAAAGCGAAAUGUUGUUAUCACUGCAGUAAAAGGGAAAUCCAUUUGUCCAAGCAAUACCUUAACUUCUGUGCUAGAUAAAGAAAUGCAGAGCAGGCCUGCACCUUCUUUUCUUCGUUACAAGCAAACAGAUAAAAGUGUUUUCCUCCCAGAUUUUUUGCAGAUGAGCAUCUGAAGUUAUGUUCAAGUACCUUUUGCAGAAAGGGACUGCUUAACGUUGCAGUAACUACAUUUGGACUAGUGGAAACAGUGGUUUAUCCAAACCAUUAAAGGAAGAACCAGUAAUUGACUACUUUGAUGUCCAGGACUGAAGUGAUUGAUAUAGAAUCAUUCAGAUGAAUAAGAAUCACAUAGAUUAUGAUACAGAAGCUUAGAGGUGAAAAUACUAAGUUAUUGUGUGAGGUGCUUUUUGAUUAUGUGUCAAAUGACUAGUUGUUCAGCAUAUUCAUAAUUUAACAUCUAAAGUUAGCUAGAUAUGCUAAAUUAAAAAGUUAAGCAUUUCAACAGUUUAUGUAACUGCAUAAUACCUAGUAGUAGUAUGAGUUUAUUAAAUCUGGGUUUGGUGCAAUUUUGUAUCUAAUGUGCAGCCAGAAAAAUUUAGAUUUUCAUUGAUGACUUUGAAGCAAGAGAACUGAUGCAGAUAUAUUUUUGGAAUAUUAAGAACAACAAUAAAUCUCAAGUAUUUAUUUUGAUGUAUCACACACAACUUAAAAGGGACUAGAAAUAAUCUGUGAUAAAAACACUGAUUGGGAUAUUCUUAAAGUAUGUUUUAUUAAUUAAUUAAUGUUUUAUUAAUUCACUUUUGUGUUAUUUGUGGUAAAUUUGAGAAUUUGAGUUAGUCUUCUACAUAGAAAGAAAUACAAAAUUAAAGUAUAGAUACAUACAUAAAUGCCUCUUAAGAACACAGAAUUGCUUUGGAGUCUGAAGAACCAAUAUUUGGGGAAGGUAGGGAAUUAAAACUUACUUUAAUGUCAAAUUUGAUGUGUUUAAAAAGAAGAACAAGCAAAAACAAAGAAAAAAACCCAAACUAAACAACAACAAAACCAACCCCACAACAUGAGAUUACUAAUACUACUACUUUUUUAUUCAAGACCUUGAACAAAAUCAAACUUCAUAUAUUAUUUUGGUGUUCUGUGCAUGAUUUUAUUGUGGUUUAUAUUUUUUCCUGUACUGUGCAAGUAUAAGAUGAAUGUGUGAAGUUUGGUUUUAGUAUGUUAUGAAUUUGUAAAAUUUAUAAGUCCAGCUGCCUAAGCUAUUUGGCAAUGGAAAAUCUUUGUUUUACGGGAAAUGCCAUUAACAAAAUGGGAUGACAGUUUAAACACUGAAAGAUGCCUGAGUGUUCUCAUGAUGGUGGAUUGUUUCCAGAUCUUGAUUUAAGAUAGGUGAGUAGCUCUCUGGGAGAGGAGAUUGUAGGUCUGAUCAGAAGAGGUGGUACAGCUCUGAAUUGGAGUCAUAUCUGUUCUCCUGAGGAGAAGGUUUUUUGUAUUAAUAGCUUUAGGAACUCUGAUGCUGAUGCACUCUGAUUCUUACUCCUUGUGGCUGCUAUGUGUAGUACUUGAUGUGAGUCCCCUAUACAGCAUAGGAGGCUGAUGAUAAAAAGGGGCUCCCUACGUUGUAGUGUGAGAUUUGUUGCCAAAAAAUUCAAAGCAUUUACUCAUGCUUAGAUUCACAUAGAGUUAUCAUAUGACCCCGAGCCUUAACUAUGAAGCCAUUCCAUGGCUACAUUUCAAUUGAACAGCUCAUGAAACAUGGAAGAACAAGUAGAAAACUCACAAACCAUACCUGUCCCCCUAGAUGUUUUAAAAAUAAAAUGCUUGCUAUUAUUGUAUAUUUUUGUAGGAGUUUAUUAUUUCACAUUUUUAAAAAUGCAGGCUUAAAUGGCACUAAACAUUUGAAGUGUUUCAAGUAAAACAGGUACCUUUAAAAGUGUUCAAGCUUUACAUUUGUAUGUAGUGAUUUAAAUUUCUUUUACUUUUUUUGUUUAAUACUUUAUGAACAGAAAUGAAAAUUAAAUAAUUAUGUCUUGCAUUGCCCUUGAUUUCUUAAGCAAAUUAUGGUUUGAUUCUACAAGGUAUGUUGCUAAAUUCAGCUGAAGAAAUAAGUUACUUCCAGGAAUGUAUUUCUUCAAUCCCUUCCGUGUGAGGACUGUAUCUGUACCAGUGCUUGCAGACAAGCGCUGUCUCAAUGUGGCCAAACAAGGGCUAUUCCUGGUUUUGAAACUCAGAGCUAUGUUAAUAUAGCACUGACUUAAAGCUAGCAAGACCUGUAUUAAUAAUGUAUGUAGUUAAGCCACAAAGGUAGGUUCGAGACAGGAGCUGGCACACAUGUCCAAUGAACUGAGUCAGAUGCAUGUGUACUGGAGCACACACAGUUGGUUUACUAUAGGUAGACCUAACAUUACAAAAAAUCAAAGUGGUUUAGUUGAUAAUAAAUAGAAUAAAGCUGAAACCUACUAACUAUUCACAGAUUCACAUGAAUAUAGCCAAAACCGUCACAUUUGUGCCUCUGAUUUGAAAUUUAAAACCUAAAAGGUUUUUGUGGUAUUAUUUUCAGCUCUGUUUAGUGGAAUUUUUAUCAGAUUAUGGCAUAACAUAAAAGCUCAACAGCUUUGGUGAGACACACUUCAGCAGUCAAUUUGCCACUGCUUGUAAUAAAAAAAUGGAAGUAAUCUCAGUUUCUCAAGCUAAGAUUAAUAAUUAUUACUGAAUGUGUUCAUACUGAGAAGUCAUACUUCUUAUCAUUUGCUUCUUAACUAUGUGAAUGUUAAAACAUUUUUAUAGAACUAUAUGUCCCACAUCUCUAAAUCAUGGCUGUGGGAUCCAUACCUGUAGUAAUGAAGCAGUUCACAAGUACCGAAUCUUUUUAUUUUUAAUUCAUUUUAGUAACUUGGUUAAAAAUAUGAUACCAUAUGUUUACCCAUGAAAGUGAUUUUUCCCUUGGAGCUCAGCUACGUAGCCUUACGAAGGAAUUCAGCAAAGGUUAACAGUGGCGCUGUUUCUGUUUUGUUUUGCUUUUGCUGCAAUGUAUCAGUGACUUUCAUAUGGAAUAUGGAAUAGUAAUAAAGGCUGGAAAUUUGAUAUAUGUGAUAAUUUAGCUUCAUAUUGCAUGUGUGCCUUGUGGAAAUACUUUUCAAAUAGCUAUUUUUUUAAAUCUGAGCUGGCAUUUACACCUUUUAUGUAAUAGAAGAAUAAGUAGAUAAAAGAAAUUUUUGCAUCAGUGAAGGCAGUGGCAAAAAUCAUGGUGACAUCACUGUAACUUACAACUUCAGCUUCAGUAUGCUAGCAAUUUUCCACAGCCCUAAGAAUAAUAUUGUCUCCUGUAAAUAUAUUUGGACAAACUACUUCUCAGUAAGCAUCUUUUGAAAUAAGUUAUGUGAUACCAGUUGGAAUUCCUGCAACUUCCUGAAGUGCUUUUAAAAUUGUAUUUAAAAUAGGCAGAUGGUUUGGCAUUUGGGCUCUGCUGUUACCUGUCUGUGUAGCUUAAAAUAUUUAAAGUGCUCUGAAUAUUCAGUAUUUGAGUUUAACAUAAAAUUGUAUAAGAUACAUGAGUAAACUUCAAGAUCACUUGCUUCUAUGGCAGUUUCUACAUUAUUUGCCUCAAAAUGAGCAAAGUAAAGUUUUUCUACAACACUUGUCAUUUGUUGAAAGAUCUAUAUUUAACUCAAUUUUGUCAAGUUACUGAUGUAAAAUUGCUUUCUUUACAAACUCAAAAUAAAUCUAUACUUAAAGUUCAGUG